rnacentral:rRNA from 1 species
UACGGAGGGUGCAAGCGUUAUCCGGAUUCACUGGGUUUAAAGGGUGCGUAGGUGGGGCUGUAAGUCAGUGGUGAAAUCUCCAAGCUUAACUUGGAAACUGCCGUUGAUACUAUAGCUCUUGAAUGUUGUGGAGGUGAGCGGAAUAUGUCAUGUAGCGGUGAAAUGCUUAGAUAUGACAUAGAACACCAAUUGCGAAGGCAGCUUACUACACGAUCAUUGACGCUGAGGCACGAAAGCGUGGGGAGCAAACAGG